rnacentral:misc_RNA from 1 species
CAAACAUCACAUAACUGUGGCACAUCUAUUGAAAACAAAUAUAUUGGUUUGGUUUGUUACAUACAUACAAACUGUGUAUAUAUUGUUGAUACAUUGCAAAUAACAAACACUUGUUCAACCUCUAGAUUCAAGACCAGGCUGAGUUCAACAUUCGCGGUGCGCUCAUCUCCUGUUUCUUCAAACUUGUCUGAGCCAGAAUCCCCCACAUUAUGAAAAAAUGAAUCUAUAGACAACACAAAAGACUGGGGUUGAUAAGAUCAACAAAUUAUGGUUUCCAAGCAGCUGGCGGAGGUGGUGGAGUAGGGAACAUGGGUGGUACUGCAGAGAAUAUCGUGUUCUUGUCAAUUCCAACACUUUUAUCUCCAGAUAGAGCUACGAGGGCUGCAACCAACCCAGCAUUUCCGGCAAGUGUUGGCUCGGUAUAAUUGUAAUUAGUACGAACAUCAUGGAAACCAUCAUUCUUGUCUGGUCCAGCAACCAUGGCACCAACAAGAAUAUUGGGAUUAGGCUUAGAUGAAUCCCUCCAUUUCCACCCUCCUUUACAAUUAUACUUGACCUUGUUUUUAGGAACUGAUGCACCUCGAUGGUGGACACGUUUUGGAUAGUGAUUGCCAAAGCCAACAACAUAACUCAUUUUCCUGGGGUUCUUGCCAAGGAUAUAGUCAAUCUGAGUCUGUGCAAAUUCACGUAGGACAUCGGUGGAGUAGAAAUUAGGUCCACAAUACCAUCCAGGGGUGUCGGCUGCUGCAAGGUAGUCACUAUACAAGGUAGCCAGGAAGGCAGCAUUGACUACAUACUGAAGUGGCUGAGGCCUUCCAUGGUUUAAUUCUAUCAGCCCACCUUUCGUUCGAUUAAAUGAAGUGAAGAAUGGCAAGAAUGAGCACAUGACUAUGCUUGUCUGGUUAUGAAACGUACUCAAAAUUUCUUCAUAAGGAUAUCCAGGGCUCAAAAACAAUCUCAAACGGCUUAGAAGCACUUGUGCUCCAAAGAGCUUAUUAUCCCAGCUGAACACGCCAUAAUCAGGACCUCCCCAGAAAGCACCAGCGUGUUUGGCGAUACCAGGAGUCGUAGCAAGCUGAAGAUAUGAAGUAUUUCCUGUAGCAUAAUAUAGCCAGGAUGCACCCCACACAAACUCAUCCCAAUAACUAGUCGAAUUGUAGAAAAUUGAAGCUUCAUUUCCGCUACUGUAUCUACCACGUUGUUCCCUGGCAAACUUGAACAGAGUUCUAGCACCAUGGACAAGCUUUUGUGAGUACACUUUGUUGUCCUUAAAUACAAUGGAAGCAGAAGCCAGUGCAGCAGCCAUCUCGGCAGCAAGAUCCGAGCAACUGUGACAUUCAGUUACAGGCCGUGGAUAAUCAAUGUCUUCUGGACGCACCCAACAAUAGUGAUCAUUGGGAUCUGGUCCUCCUGAGGUAUCCCCUAUCCCCACUUGUGAAACGAGUCGAUCAAUGGUAUCAGCUGAGGAAUUGAAUGUUUUCAAGAGAUAAUCAGUUCCCCACUUGAUAACAUCCUUGAUAUGAGUGAGCUCUCCAGCAGCUUCAUAUUUUGCAGGAUACUCAAUCACACUCCAACUCAAGACAGUUAAAGCAAAAGAUUGAGGGAAAUUAAACUUGAUGGCAUCUCCUGCAUCAUAAUAACCCCCAACCAAAUUCUUAAAGGUAGUGGAACCAUCGGAUUUCCCAUCCUGUAGAGCUGAACUCCCCCUCCAUGAUACAUUAUUAUGCUUAGGAAGUUUCCCAGAGCGCUGUGCAUUGAAGAACAUGAUAGCUUUACGAAGAGCUAAAGUGUAGUUAUCUGGUGGAGGAUUAUGGUGUCGGUGCUUAGGUACAGUUUUAACAAUAAGAGUAACAAAUCCAGCAAUAAGUGCAGCUGCAAUAAUGCAUCCGAGAGUCCAUUUGAAUACUUUUCUACUAACAAUAAUACAACCCAGAUCUACAUAUUUCUUCUUCUUUUGCUCUGUAGGACCUAAUAACCAACUUUGCUGCGUUUCAUCUAAAUUUCGUGACAAAGCUGCUUUAUCAAAAUCCUGCAAGUUCCUGCUCCGAUCAUCAUCAGUUGCUGAAUCUGUUGCAUUAAUUUCUAAUGCACCUCCCCAUGGAUCCCUCCCAUACAUACUGAGUUGAUGAUUGUUUGAGCUCCUAGUACAGUAGUGAAGGGAGAGAGGAAGAGGAAAGAGAAAUAGAUUCAAAUGGGCAAUAAUGAUCAAGUAUAUGAAGGUGGAAGGAGUUGAAGGCACCGACACCGACACUACUAGACAAACAUCGCUCACCCUCUUUGAUGCUUCUUUGCUUCCUACUUUAAUUGGAGUGUAAAAUUGGCCUAUUUACAUAGAAUAGAUUCCCUUCAUUCACCAACAAACAAC